UUUUAUUGCAAUUUAAAGUGCUAUAAGACACAUUUACAAACAAUACAAUAUAUUAGUAAAAUAAUUACGUCACAAGAUGGCGGUUGACGUAAUCUUUUAAUCUAUAAUUCUUGCAUACUUAUGUCUAACGCUACUGCUAGUAAUUAACCAAAUUUUUAAUAGUAACCAAAAGGAACUUUGGCUGGAAGGAAAAAAGGAGACAUUUAAAUAUAUGGUCCUUGCUUUCAUUUCUCUCACCAGAAAGGAUCUUAGAAAUUACGAAGACCAACUCCCAGUGGACCAUUACUUAUUUGACCAUUAAAUGGCAACAUAAAAUGGAAUUAAUUGUGCUCCGAGGAGCAUCUUAUUUUUUUUCUGUGCGUUUAAAUAUAAAAUAGCAUUUUUAAUGUCUAUGCAAAUGAACGGGAACUAAAUUUUCCAUAGACACUGCAACAUCAUUGGUCGCUUUCUAUACUAUCAAUGCAGCAAACGUAUCAAUGGCACGUGACACUCGCAGAAUACCAAACGUUUAAUUAAGCAGAAUUAAUUCACGGGAGCAAAGGUAUAUAUAGAAAUGGAGAAGAAAUGCAAUUGCACCAAUGUUUGUUCGACAAGAGUUACACAAGCUUUAGAAACAGAUAUGCUAAGGAACGGCCAUGGCAGGCGGUGUGCACUGAUACGGGAGUCUCAGGUUCGUGCGAGAGUUGGCGGCCCAAAAUUUGAGAGCGGGGACAGCUACCCAGCAUACAACGGAAUAUUUUUUCCAAUCGAUGCGGGUUUUAACGAAGUAUGUUGCUUCCAGAAUGACGACAACCAAUACGCAGUGGUUCGGUGAAGACGAACAGCACAGCUGCAGUAGUUCUGCACUCAUAAGCACGAAAGGUGCACAAGUGAGUGAUUGUGGAUCGGAAGAGCUCGUAGAAGAUGAGAGUGAGUUCCUUGAAGGCCAGGGCAGCCAACGCAUCGAAAACAUCAAACCGACGAAGAAUCGUACAAUCUACUGAAUGAUUUAUGUAGAACGCUGCAUACGGCGUUAUUAACAUCAAGCCAUCAGACAGAAUAAAAAAUUAAAGAAGAAUUUUCAGCCUUUGAUGCACAUCACCUGAUUUUUUUUUUGGAAAAGUUAUAACAUUAUCAAUUUUUUUAUAAUUUUUGUGAUGGAUUGCAUUUAUUUUAAGCAGGAACCGU